rnacentral:rRNA from 1 species
CAGCCGUAAACAAUGUGCGUUAGGUGUGUCGGUAACCACGUGUUACUGAUGCGCCGAAGAGAAAUCGUGAAACGCACCACCUGGGAAGUACGGUCGCAAGGCUGAAACUUAAAGGAAUUGGCGGGGGAGCACCACAACAGGUGGAGCCUGCGGUUUAAUUGGAUUCAACGCCGGACAUCUCACCGGAUAAGACAGCUGAAUGAUUGUCAAUCUGAAGGUUUUACAUGACUAGCUGAGAGGAGGUGCAUGGCGUAGACGUCU